UACGUAGGGUGCAAGCGUUGUCCGGAAUUAUUGGGCGUAAAGAGCGUGUAGGCGGCCAGAUAAGUCCGCUGUGAAAUCUCGAGGCUCAACUUCGAGCUGUCGGUGGAAACUGUCUGGCUAGAGUCCGGAAGAGGAGAAUGGAAUUCCUGGUGUAGCGGUGAAAUUCGUAGAUAUCAAGCAGAACACCUGCGGCGAAGGCGGCCUCUGGACGAUGACUGACGUGAGACACGAAAGCGUGGGGAGCAAACAGG
rnacentral:rRNA from 1 species